rnacentral:lncRNA from 1 species
UUACAACAAAAUAUGUUUUAAACAACUCUUUUAGACGACGCUCUCUUCAAUAUUUGGCAUGUGCUGACACCAUGAUUAACUGUUACCAAUAAAUGUAUUUUUAUCAAAUAGUGAUAAAAAUUUUCCGACGUUAUAUUAAAGCAUAGGUAUAUUUAUUCCGACAUAUUUACUUAACGACUCUUUGCUCGACGCUUUUAGAAGCAUCGGAGUUAUUUUUGCCAACGUUUUAAAGCGUCGCUAGUUAUAUAUUAUUUAAAGUGUCCUUAAGUAUAAGAUUUAUUGUAGU